GAGUUUGAUCAUGGCUCAGGAUGAACGCUAGCGGCAGGCUUAAUACAUGCAAGUCGUGGGGCAGCAUAGGGUAGCAAUACUCUGAUGGCGACCGGCAAACGGGUGCGGAACACGUACGCAACCUUCCUUUAACUGGAGAAUAGCCCCUCGAAAGAGGGAUUAAUACUCCGUAACAUGUUGAUAAGGCAUCUUAUUAAUAUUAUAGCUCCGGCGGUUAAAAGAUGGGCGUGCGCCUGAUUAGGUAGUUGGCGGGGUAACGGCCCACCAAGCCUUCGAUCAGUAACUGGUGUGAGAGCACGACCAGUCACACGGGCACUGAGACACGGGCCC
rnacentral:rRNA from 1 species